GGUUUUAUGGUGUAAAGGUUAGCACUCUGGACUCUGAAUCCAGUGAUCUGAGUUCAAAUGUUAGUAGGACCU
rnacentral:tRNA from 1 species